AGAGAGAGACAUGCGCGCAUAUCAAUAAGCGGAGGAAAAGAAACUAACAAGGAUUCCCCUAGUAACGGCGAGUGAAGCGGGAAGAGCUCAAAUUUGAAAUCUUAAAGGGUUUCCCUUUACGAAUUGUAGUUUAAAGAAGUGUCUUCUGUUGAGGUUUUGGUAAAAGUUCUUUGGAAUAGGACAUCAUAGAGGGUGAGAAUCCCGUAUUUGACCUUUACUUUCAACUUUGUGAUACACUUUCAAAGAGUCGGAUUGUUUGGGAAUGUAGUCCAAAAUGGGUGGUAAAUUUCAUCUAAAGCUAAAUAUUGGCGAGAGACCGAUAGCGAACAAGUACCGUGAGGGAAAGAUGAAAAGAACUUUGAAAAGAGAGUUAAACAGUACGUGAAAUUGUCAAAAGGGGAGCGUUUGACACCAGUGUUGUUUUUCUGAAAAUCAAUUAAAGAACUGUUUAUGCUAAGUUGUUUAGACUUUAUCAGCUAACUGUUUAGUUUUGAGCUUUUCUUUAAUGCACUUUUCAGUUAACAAGUCAACAUCAAUUUCUUUUGCUGUAAAAAAGCUUGAGGAAGGUGGCUUGAGAUUCGUCUUAAGUGUUUAUAGCCUCUUGCCUAUACAGUCGGAGAGAUUGAGGUCUGCAGCGUAGAUCCUUCGGGGCUAAAUGCAUUUGUGCUAAGUUAUAGCAUUUUAUAGACAACUUGUUGACUAUGAUUUGUCUUGUAGCUUACCCGCUUAUGUUAUUUUACCUACGCUUAGGAUGUUGAGCGCAUGUCUCUCUCU
rnacentral:rRNA from 1 species